rnacentral:lncRNA from 1 species
UGGAUCAAUGCAGACAAAGGCUUGCUCCUGAGGGCAGUGAGCAGCCGCAGAAGCACCUUUAUCUUCCACCCCAUCUUUAUUUACACCCUCUCAACAUCAAAGCCAAGAGAAUCUUCCUUCAGUCUGGUGUUCAGGGCAGAGCUGAAAAGAGAUGGAGCUCAAAUCCUGCAUGCAGCCAGGAUCCUAUGCUGAUGAAAAAUCAAAAUCUGGAUUUGUAAAGCUACCUCUACCACACACUGCUGCUAUGAUGCUCAACUUCACCAAGGGUAUGACAACAACAGAGCCAGCUGACGGCAGACUGAAGCCUCAGAAAAUAUAAGCCAAAUAAACUUUUCUUCUUACUAAA